UACAGAGGUCUCAAGCGUUGUUCGGAUUCAUUGGGCGUAAAGGGCGCGUAGGCUGCGGGGCAAGUCGGGUGUGAAAUCUCAGAGCUCAACUCUGAAACUGCACUCGAUACUGCUUUGCUCGAGGACUGGAGAGGAGAUUGGAAUUCACGGUGUAGCAGUGAAAUGCGUAGAUAUCGUGAGGAAGACCAGUGGCGAAGGCGGAUCUCUGGACAGUUCCUGACGCUGAGGCGCGAAGACCAGGGGAGCAAACGGG
rnacentral:rRNA from 1 species